GAUGAACGCUGGCGGCGUGCCUAAUACAUGCAAGUCGAGCGAAUGGAUUAAGAGCUUGCUCUUAUGAAGUUAGCGGCGGACGGAUGAGUAACACGUGGGUAACCUGCCCAUAAGACUGGGAUAACUCCGGGAAACCGGGGCUAAUACCGGAUAACAUUUUGAACCGCAUGGUUCGAAAUUGAAAGGCGGCUUCGGCUGUCACUUAUGGAUGGACCCGCGUCGCAUUAGCUAGUUGGUGAGGUAACGGCUCACCAAGGCAAGGAUGCGUAGCCGACCUGAGAGGGUGAUCGGCCACACUGGGACUGAGACACGGCCCAGACUCCUACGGGAGGCAGCAGUAGGGAAUCUUCCGCAAUGGACGAAAGUCUGACGGAGCAACGCCGCGUGAGUGAUGAAGGCUUUCGGGUCGUAAAACUCUGUUGUUAGGGAAGAACAAGUGCUAGUUGAAUAAGCUGGCACCUUGACGGUACCUAACCAGAAAGCCACGGCUAACUACGUGCCAGCCGCCGCCGUAA
rnacentral:rRNA from 1 species